CCUACGGGUGGCAGCAGUGGGGAAUAUUGCGCAAUGGGCGAAAGCCUGACGCAGCGACGCCGCGUGAGGGAUGAAGGUCUUCGGAUCGUAAACCUCUGUCGGCAGGGAAGAAGGGUCACUGUGCUAAUCAGCAGUGAAUUGACGUUACCUGCAAAGGAAGCACCGGCUAACUCCGUGCCAGCAGCCGCGGUAAUACGGAGGGUGCGAGCGUUAAUCGGAAUUACUGGGCGGAAAGGGCACGUAGGCGGUAGGUCAAGUCAAGGGUGAAAUCCCCGCGCUGAACGUGGGAACUGCCUUUGAUACUGGCAAACUGGAGUGUGUUAGAGGAUAGUUGAAUUCCAGGUGUAGGAGUGAAAUCCGUAGAUAUCUGGAGGAAUAUCAGUGGCGAAGGCGACUAUCUGGCACAUAACUGACGCUGAUGUGCGAAAGCGUGGGUAGCAAACAGGAUUAGAUACCCGGGUAGUC
rnacentral:rRNA from 1 species